rnacentral:rRNA from 1 species
CGGGGGGCAGCAGUGAGGAAUAUUGGACAAUGGGCGCAAGCCUGAUCCAGCCAUGCCGCGUGCAGGAAGAAGCAUCUAUGGUGUGUAAACUGCUUUUGUACAGGAAGAAACACUCCCUCGUGAGGGAGCUUGACGGUACUGUAAGAAUAAGGAUCGGCUAACUCCGUGCCAGCAGCCGCGGUAAUACGGAGGAUCCAAGCGUUAUCCGGAAUCAUUGGGUUUAAAGGGUCCGUAGGCGGUUUAAUAAGUCAGUGGUGAAAUCUGGUCGCUCAACGAUCAAACGGCCAUUGAUACUGUUAGACUUGAAUUACUAGGAAGUAACUAGAAUAUGUAGUGUAGCGGUGAAAUGCUUAGAUAUUACAUGGAAUACCAAUUGCGAAGGCAGGUUACUACUAGUGGAUUGACGCUGAUGGACGAAAGCGUGGGGAGCGAACAGGAUUAGAUACCCGAGU